rnacentral:rRNA from 1 species
UACGGAGGAUGCAAGCAUUAUCCGGAAUGAUUGGGCGUAAAGCGUCUGCAGGUGGCAGUUCAAGUCUGCUGUCAAAGACCGGGGCUUAACUUCGGAAAGGCAGUGGAAACUGAACAGCUAGAGUAUGGUAGGGGCAGAGGGAAUUCCUGGUGUAGCGGUGAAAUGCGUAGAGAUCAGGAAGAACAUCGGUGGCGAAGGCGCUCUGCUGGACCAUAACUGACACUCAGGGACGAAAGCUAGGGGAGCGAAUGGG